CGGAUACUAUUCUUGAUGGAUUCCUUGACAUACUCCGAUGAUUACUAGAAUACUUGUUACUUUAUACCUUCGAACCAAACCAUACAAAUUGACUUAAUGGAAGAAUCUAAUAAUUUAAUUCUCAUAAUAGAAGUUUCAUACAUAAUUUGAUAGUUCUCAAAUUUGGCGAAAUCUUAUACCACCAAUAUUCUAGAUUUCCCAAGUUCUCUAUCAUGGUAGAUCAUUAAAGAAGAUUCAAUAAUUGGUUACUCUGUCGAGUAUUCUAUCGAAAAAUGCUUUACA
rnacentral:lncRNA from 1 species